ACGAGAAAAUUAAUUCACUAUUCGAGUAUGGGCUACGUUUUCAAGGAGAUUUCACCACCUCAUAGCUUUACACUCAUAUCAUUACGAAUAAGCAAAGGAGAUGAGUUUCCAUCGAUAAUAUCGGGUUUCAAUUCUUUUCCUUGUUUCGUCGAUUUCAAGUUCUACAACAAUCAACUUUUUCCAGCUUUGGUCAAUUUCAAGCUCUGCUACUAUGGCAAAAAUUAAUUUUUCGUACGCAACAUGUUCGCCUACUACAAUGUCAUCACUCUUAUAUUGCUCGGACUUGACAUCAGUAAUCCAAACACUGAAAUGACGUAAUAACAACGAAAUAUUCAUUGCGAUUAGUUGAUAAAGAAAAAAUGGCAGAAAUAAAAAAGGAGAAGAAGAAUGAAUGGCAGAAAGAGAAACUGAGAAGAAGAAGGAAUAUGCAAAUUGAAUAGAAAGAAUAAUAUUUCAAAAAUCUUUCAUUAUUAACAAUAUGCCCUUUUUUAGGGAAUAUAUUGUUGUUAUUUAAAAGAUUUAGAGAGUUAAUUGCUCAUUAAUUAAAUCCUUAAUUUAUCGUUAUCAUGCUUGAUUUCAGGAAUUUAUUUGGUUAUUCAAAUGUAUCAUCACACUUGUAUCUCUUUGAAUUAUAUGUAUCUGAAAAUUAAAAAAUUGAAAUUUCAUGAAAUAUUAGAAAAAAAUCGGAAUAAGGUGAAUGUGGAUAAACUAGUCAGGAUUUAUGUAAAUUUUUGGAUAUCUGUCGAGUGAAUCAUCUACUGGUCAAUCAUUACUAUUAAUUAUAUUUUUAUUAUUUCCUAUAUUCAAAAUAAAUCUGUUGUUACUGUAUGUAUGUUUUUUCCACCUUUAAACAACCAAAUAAUUCUUUAAGGGAAAAGGAUUACAAAAACCCUUCUAUUUUCAUUUGUCGAUUAAGUUUAUCUCUAGUUACACUGUAGGUCAAAUAUAUAAAAUUUGACAUAAUGUGAUAUUUGUGUGAGGUGAAGGCCAUAUGACAAGUCACUUCACCGCCAAUCUUAUUUGGAAAAAACUAUAAAAUUAGACAAACAUCUGUCCAAUUACAUAACCACACUUAAUUUUAAAAGAAUUACAAAACAAAACGUAUCUUCAGAUACAUAAAUACCUGAAUACACGUUGUAACAGCACCUACGUAACUUCUUUUUUUUUAUAGAACAUGUAUCUAAAAUUACACAAAUACACAAUCUCAAUCGAUGUAUCUGAGAUACACGACACAUACUGUAAUUUUUUGAAAUUUGUGUUGCGUUGAGGAGGGAAAGAGGGAGUAUCUAUUUUUUUUAUAUACUUCCUUCUCCAAUAAUGUUUGUUCAUUAUUGACUUCACACAAAUCUUACAAAACAAUAAAUAUUAUAGAUAAUUUUACUAUAUCAUUCUUUGAAAAUAAUAAACUUAUGGAGCAUUUAAUAGCAAAGGUAAAAUGGACACGAAAUGAUUAAACUAUCCCUUAAUUUUCAAACUGAACAAGUACUUUUGAAAAUCUAUUUUUAGUAUAAUUGACAAGUAAAGAUUGAUGGAAGAACUAACAAUACAAAAGCAAAUCCAAAACUAGAUAAGGUUGGGGGGGUAAGAAAGAGCCGUAGUUACAACCUACCUGUAAAUUGGAAAGUCGAAAUGCAAGGUCUUACAAUUACAACAGGAAGUGCAACUCCUUGUGUUCACUCUUCACUUGCUAGAUUCUCUUCCAAAACCACUAAUGUUGCCUCCAGGUUUACUGCAAAAGCUGUCCAGAAGCAAAGCUUAGCUGCAUUUCAACCAACAUUUCAUCUUUUCUCAUCAAAUGUUAAUGCCCCCAAAAGGCAACUUAGAGCUCAUGUAUUCCUACCACAUUUGGUUGCAUCAAUGGUAAUUCAUUCUUUUUUUUAUCUUAUUAUCGCUCUCUCAACAUAAAUAUGUAGUAAGAAGUUUGAUUUCAACAAUUAUUGACUCCCCAUUGAAUAUCUUCGCCAACCCAUACACUUUAAUUUAUCAUAUUUAUACAAAUCUCCACCCUAAUUACAAAAGUCUCAACUAAUUAUGUAUUUUGUUGGAUGUAUUAAUUAUGUAUCUCGACAGACCCAAAAUCAGAAAAAUGUAUCGGAAGCUAAUUAUGUAUCUCGACAGACCCGAAAUCGAAAAAAAAAUGUAUUGGAAGUUAAUUAGGUAUCCUUACAAAGGAAAAAAUGUAUAUUCAUUGCAUGUAUCAGGAGCUAAUUAUGCAUCUCAACAGAUCCAAAAUCGGAUUUUCAGUAAUUAUGCAAAAUAUCGGAAUUUUUUGUAAUUGAGCUCCAAACUAUUGAGAUUUAUGUUGUUUGCCCUAUUUUUUUUCCCCCUAUCCUUAUAGAAAUGUAGCGGUAAAGGGUGUGGCCUAGUGGUUAAUGAAGUGAGUUGAACGUCUCAAGUUCAAAUCUAGCAGACAAAAAAGACAAGGUGAUUUCUUCCCAUCUAUUGUGUGCACUCCUUGGGGUGGACAGAGUUACUGGCAUGUGUUCCGUGGAAUUAGUAGGUGCAGAAAGCUGGCUCGGACAACACGAGUCACAAAAAAGAAAUUCACAAUGGGUAUAGAGAAUUUGUAUUGCAGGCACCAAAUAAUUGGAAUUUAGGCUUUGUUGAUUGAUUGAUGUUUUUUUUUCUUUGUUUUAUUUUGGGAUAUUGUGUACAGGAAGAAGUGGAGCAGAGUUAUAUCAUGAUUAAGCCUGAUGGUGUUCAAAGAGGACUUGUAUGCUUCAGUAUAUUCUUUCUUUAUUUGAGUUUGGAUUAUUACAAAGAAUUUAACUAUAUGUUUUUGGCCACAUAUUUUGAAUUUCUGAAGAUAUGUUAUACUUAAUUCUUAUAGGUUGGAGAAAUUAUAUCCAGAUUUGAGAGAAAAGGGUUUAAGCUUACUGGAUUAAAGCUUUUUCAGUGCCCCAAAGAAUUGGCACAGGUUUGCCUUUUUGAGCUUUACUUUGGUGUCAACAAUAUUUUUUCAAGAACUGACAUUUCUACGAAAACCCCGGCCUCCCCCCCCCCCAAAAAAAAAGAAAAAGGAAAAAAGCAACAAUGGCAUACCUAAUGUAAUCCCACAAGUAGAAGAAAAUCUGUACUCUUAAUGUCUAAGGGCUUCAUCGGCUAUUUCCUUUCAGAUAUCCCAAAGUUUUCCUGUAUCGAACGAGGUUUGUUCAAUUCACAUGUUACACUUGGUAACUGCAAUGAAUGCUAGGAACCAACAAAAUAUUCUUCGUUCCAGUUAACUCACAUAAAGAUUUGAAUUGUAAAGUUGGACAAAAUGCAAUUUCAAACUUUGUAGUAUGUUGUUUGGACUACAAGACAUGAAACUAGUAGGUAAAACAGAUAUAAUGUACAAGUUAAGAAGUGGAAGGUUUGCUUACCAGGAGAAAUCUUG
rnacentral:lncRNA from 1 species